CAGGUCCUGUAACCACAAUACUCAUUAACUGAUUGUCCUUUGAUUUAAAUAUGAAUGCGCAUGAAUAAUAACCUAAAAUGUUUGCCCCAAGUAUUUUCACUGAAAAUGUGUAUAACUGAAUGAUACUGAAUUCACAAAGUUAUAGUAAAAAUUAAAUACCAUUCCUGGCCAGGCACGGUGGCUCACGCCUGUAAUCCCGGGACUUUGGGAGGCCAAGGCAGGCGGAUCACGAGGUCAGGAGAUGGAGAACAUCCUGGCUAACACGGUGAAACCCCGUCUCUACUAAAAAUACAAAAAAAAAUUAGCCGGUUGUAUCUUGCAUUAAGUUUACCUUCUUUUGUCUCCAAGCAUGCCAUUUACAAGGUUGAGAAAUAUCCUGCAAUCCUAAUUUUAAAGAGAAAUACUUUUAAAAAUCAUAAUAAUUUUUAA
rnacentral:lncRNA from 10 species